CGAAAGGACUGCUAUGUCCUAUUCGUUAUUGGCCUGAUGAUCAACCUGACUGAAGAUACAGACUCUUUCUUCAAGGAGUAUGUGGCCACUGAGGAGAUUGUACAGAAGACAUCAGAGUUGUGAUUGAGGGCAUUAAGGUUUUGAGCAACCUAGACUGCGUGAUCCUGGCAUUCAUCAAUCAGUCUCAUUUAUGCUCUUGAUCUUAGUUCUCCUGAAAACCUAAAGUACACCUUCGAGUUUAUCCAGAAAACCUAAUGAACUUUGAUGGACUUGAAUGCAAAGAUCCUGCAACUCAAAGUCAAGCUGUUUGCAUGAGAUGUGCAAUAAUGUGAAUUAUUUGAAAAUACAUGCAGGUGCGCACACACACAGAAGUACAUUUCCUUUUUUAUAAAUUCUUACAUGCUUUUUUUUUUUUUUUACACACUUUUUGUGUAUUUCUUGUUAGUCAUUUAUGUCUUUUUAGGGAUAGUUCACCCAAAAAUGAAAAUUGUCAUCAUUUACAGAU